GACGAACGCUGGCGGCGUGCCUAACACAUGCAAGUCGAACGAAGUCGCGAACGGGUGAGUAACGCGUAAACAACCUGCCCUUCAGAGGGGGACAACAGUUGAAAACGACUGCUUAUACCGCAUACUGAAGGAGGGGAUUGCGUUUGAUUGGCUAGUUGGAGGGGUAACGGCCACCCAAGGCGAGGAUCAGUAGCCGGUCUUAGAGGGUGAACGGCCACAUUGGGACUGAGACACGGCCCAGACUCCUACGGGAGGCAGCAGUGGGGAAUCUUCCGCAAUGGACGAAAGUCUGACGGAGCAACGCCGCGGGAGUGAUGACGGCCUUCGGGUUGGAAAGCUCUGUUAAUCGGGACGCGGUACCGAAAUAGAAAGCCACGGCUAACUACGUGCCAGCAGCCGCGGUAAUUC
rnacentral:rRNA from 1 species